ensembl:rRNA 5S_rRNA 5S ribosomal RNA
GCCAGCAGCCAUGUCACCCUGCAACUUACAAUUGGAAACCCACUGAAGCUAAGCAGGUGUGAGCCUGGUCAGUACCUGGAUAGGAGACCUACUGGGAAAAACUAAGGUUGCUGCUGGAA